rnacentral:rRNA from 1 species
CAUGCCGUAAACGAUGAUUACUAGGUGUGGGGGGUCUGACCCCUUCCGUGCCGGAGUUAACACAAUAAGUAAUCCACCUGGGGAGUACGGCCGCAAGGUUGAAACUCAAAGGAAUUGACGGGGGCCCGCACAAGCAGUGGAGUAUGUGGUUUAAUUCGAAGCAACGCGAAGAACCUUACCAGGUCUUGACAUCCCAGUGACCACUCUAGAGAUAGAGUUUUCCCUUCGGGGACAUUGGUGACAGGUGG